UUCGCUGUAUCCAGCCUUUUAUUUAAAAAUUUAAUCGAGUUCCGACCACUACCAACCAGUUAGUGAAACGACUCUGAUUACGAUUAACUUACACAUCUCCAGAAGUGCUAGAUAGUUGAUCGCACGCAUCCAUUAUAACGUCCCAUUUCUCUUUAGUAUUCUUUUCAUCAGUGGCUUGUAAAAUAAGGGUCUCAAUAGAGUUGGGUUUUCCUCGAAACAUAUUGGUGAAGAAGAGAUGGCGGCGACCACUAUGCUUAUCCAAGACAUAUAUAUAACCUUGUAAUAAAUCGAGAAAUUUUAGAUCAAUCAAAUUGCUACUUGUUCUGUUAAAGGUGAAUUUAAUAAAUUUCUAUUUAGAUAAAUUCAAAAGCAUGGUAAAGUGGUUGGUUUAUAUAGUCAACAUUCAUGGGUGCUUCUAAAAAAGAACUUGUAGCCGAUUUAUUAUUCUUGGUUCAAAAAUACGAGUCAAUUUUUAAAUAUUCAGUAAUAUUUAUACUUUUUGGGUUAAGCUUGGGUUCCUUUUAGAAUAAAAAGACAGUUUCACUACCGAGUUGUAUUUUCAUGCUCAAGCAAACUGUAUAUUUAAAAUACUGCAAUACUCUAAUCGGUCAAGUGUUUAGAUUUUCUAACGAAUGAUGAUGAAUAUAAAACUAUGAAGCAACAUUAAACCCUUGUCCUCAUAUAUCAAUUUGAGAAUUCAUUUAUAUAUCUAUUAAAACUAGUGUAUUAUAGUCGCAGCUUGCUGUUACUAUAUUUAUUUCAUUAUUUUAAAUAAUAUGUAAGCUCACCAAAAAGCAUUACAUUUCAUUUAGCAUUGGUUAGCAUUCAAGGCUCAAACUAGGUGAAUUCAAUGUACGAUAUUUGUCGUCUAGAUGAUCGGUACAGUCCUUUUACAUAGCUCUCUAAUAUACGAACAAAAUACUCAUAAUUUGAUUAAUUAGA